CAUCAGUGUCUUACCUGCAAUGUCCCCAUCUGAGCCUUAUAUCAUGUAGACUGGAAAUAGCUCACACCCUCAUAUUUAAGUGGCCAUUUUU